rnacentral:lncRNA from 13 species
CUCUUCCAAGAAGCAGCCUGUGGCAAUUUAAAAAUAUGUCCAUAAAUUCCUUAAUACUCCUCCUUUCAGGAGGUAGAGCCUAAUUUCCCUCCCUUUGAGGGUGAGCUCAGCUCAGUGACUCGCUUGUAAUGACUAGAAUAAUACAGAAGUUAUGAUGUGUGACUUCAGAGACCGAGUCAUGAAAGGCACUGUGACUUCUGCCUUGCUCUCUAAGAUAGCUCACUCUGGGAAUGUUAGCUGCCAUGUCAUAAGGAUACUCAUGCAACUCUGUGUAGAGACCCAUGUAACAGGAACUGAAGCCUCUUGCCAUGUGAUGAGCCAUCUUACAAGUGAAUCCUCCAGCCUCAGUCAAGCCUCAAGAUGCCUGCAGCCACACAAAGAUCCUGAGCUAGAGCCACCCAGUCAAGGCACUGGUGAUUUCUCUGCACCUCCAGCCAGCUUCCUGCAUAGAGGGGAAGAGGUGGUCUUAAUGCGGUGGCGAACUACACCCUCAUCUCUCUACACCUGAGGUCAUACAACACAACCUGGACCACCUAUCAUAUGGCUAUGGCAAAGCUGCUAACCUCAGGGAUAUGCCAAUGAAACAAAGACCCUAUACAUCCUGCAGAGGGGACCUGGCACACAGGUGGGGAAACCAGCUUAGAACUUGUUCAUCUAAUCCUAUUGAUUGACAUUUUAUAUCCAGAAUUCAGUGGUUAUAUAGCCUUUAUACUUUUACACUUUAUCCAUCUCAGCAGCACUUGUUGGACACCAGCAUUGUGCAGGGCCCUAGGACUUAAAAAAGUGACUUAAACUAGAGUGGAUCGGCAACCAACAGAAUGGGAAAAAAUUUUCGCAGUCUACCCAUCUGACAAAGGGCUGAUAUCCAGAAUUUACAAAGAACUCAAGCAGAUUUACAGGAAAAAAACAAACAAGCCCA